rnacentral:lncRNA from 1 species
CAAGAGGGAAGUGGAUUCUAUUUUUAAGCAUUGCCUGUUGCACAGCACCAAAGAGCACAAAGAGUUCAAGCAUUCAACAAAUUUAUUCUUCCUACUGCUUAUGCCUUUAAAAUCGUCAUCAUCAAGGCAUGAUAACCAUCCAUCUGCUCAAUCUGCAAUCCAAGGGCUGCAUACAAGUUUACAGGGGCAAGCUCUUCUUGCAGUCAGACCCUGCUGACACCAUUCUGCUUGCACAUAGAGAUUUACCCUUACAUGUAUAGAGCGGAGCACAAGAGCAGCACACUUCCAAGAAGCUCCAAACCUUGUGUAGUUUCUGUGGUGGGAGAAGAAAAGCACUGUUGUAUGUAAUCCUCCUCAAAUGUUAAAAGAAUCCAGCCAAAAAUGCUGGAUACUACUUGUUUAAAUGAAAUAAUUGGUCACAGAAUUAUACCCCUACUCUUCGUUUCCUAAUUACACCUCUAAAACGCAGCUUAUAUUCACAUGUAUCAAAUCAUACAAUCACAAAUACCCUCAGGCUGGAAAGGCCUCAGAGGUCACCUAGCCAAACCCCUAAUGGCAGCCAGCUCCCUCUGCUUCCUGCUGUCUGCUUUCCCCCCAGCAAGGUAGCAUGGUUACUGAAACAGCUGUGAAACUGCUAACACACCUGCUUUACCUAAAUCAUACAGAUGGGAGCUGUCAGCCCAUUACUGCCCUUAUUUUUCAGACACAGCACCUCAACAGGGGCACGCAUAUGGCUGUGCAGAGGCUGCUCACAAAAUGAUGUUGCUGCUCUGGGUGAGGGCAUACUGCUAAAUCCCCAGCUGCUUGAUGGGCUAUUUAGGAACUAUGUGGAACUGCAACCACAGCUAUCCAGACAGCUCCCGCUGCACACAUGUGACACCAUUAAACUCAUCUAGUCACAUCUACAAAGGAGCCCCUUGUCGUUCUACCACACGUUCUGAUAAAACACCUGGGUAGGAUCUCAGACCUGACUGAAAGCAAGCUGGAUCUUGGUGGAACAAGGUUUGGAAAUAGGACUCAUUUUUUUCAGAGUCAUCCAGUUAACCUAGAGAGAUGACACCUUGAGGGAAUUAUGUAUGACUUCUCUUUUUGAUGAAGCCUUUUCCAAAAAUUUUAGAGCAGCUUGUGGCAAACAUCUUCAAUGGAAUGUGGCACGUAAUUCUUAUCUUGCCAAGAAAAUAUAACCACAACUACUCAUAAAGAUUUGUUUGACUUACAGCAUUUUUCAGAGUUAUUAGCAGUGAGAUAGAUUACUAUUCUCAAUUUUGCCAGAUCACUACAUUAAUAUAGCUAAGAUUAAAACAAGAUAAGGC